AGUGAACGCUGGCGGUAGGCCUAACACAUGCCAGUCGAACGGCAGCACAGUAAGAGCUUGCUCUUACGGGUGGCGAGUGGCAGACGGGUGAGGAAUACAUCGGAAUCUACUUUUUCGUGGGGGAUAACGUAGGGAAACUUACGCUAAUACCGCAUACGACCUACGGGUGAAAGCAGGGGAUCUUCGGACCUUGCGCGAUUGAAUGAGCCGAUGUCGGAUUAGCUAGUUGGCGGGGUAAAGGCCCACCAAGGCGACGAUCCGUAGCUGGUCUGAGAGGAUGAUCAGCCACACUGGAACUGAGACACGGUCCAGACUCCUACGGGAGGCAGCAGUGGGGAAUAUUGGACAAUGGGCGCAAGCCUGAUCCAGCCAUACCGCGUGGGUGAAGAAGGCCUUCGGGUUGUAAAGCCCUUUUGUUGGGAAAGAAAAGCAGCAGGUUAAUACCCCGCUGUUCUGACGGUACCCAAAGAAUAAGCACCGGCUAACUUCGUG
rnacentral:rRNA from 1 species